CGAUGGGCCGACGUCGCAUGCUCCCGGCCGCCAUGGUUAGCAGUUUGCAUCAUGGCUCAGAUUGAACGCUGGCGGCAGGCCUAACACAUGCAAGUCGAGCGGCAGCACGGGUACUUGUACCUGGUGGCGAGCGGCGGACGGGUGAGUAAUGCCUAGGAAUCUGCCUGGUAGUGGGGGAUAACGCUCGGAAACGGACGCUAAUACCGCAUACGUCCUACGGGAGAAAGCAGGGGACCUUCGGGCCUUGCGCUAUCAGAUGAGCCUAGGUCGGAUUAGCUAGUUGGUGAGGUAAUGGCUCACCAAGGCGACGAUCCGUAACUGGUCUGAGAGGAUGAUCAGUCACACUGGAACUGAGACACGGUCCAGACUCCUACGGGAGGCAGCAGUGGGGAAUAUUGGACAAUGGGCGAAAGCCUGAUCCAGCCAUGCCGCGUGUGUGAAGAAGGUCUUCGGAUUGUAAAGCACUUUAAGUUGGGAGGAAGGGCAGUUACCUAAUACGUAAUUGUUUUGACGUUACCGACAGAAUAAGCACCGGCUAACUCUGUGCCAGCAGCCGCGGUAAUACAGAGGGUGCAAGCGUUAAUCGGAAUUACUGGGCGUAAAGCGCGCGUAGGUGGUUUGUUAAGUUGGAUGUGAAAUCCCCGGGCUCAACCUGGGAACUGCAUUCAAAACUGACAGGCUAGAGUAUGGUAGAGGGGUGGUGGAAUUUUCUGUGUACCGGUGAAUGCGUAGAUAUAGGAAGGGACACCAGUGGCGAAGGCGACACUUGGACGGAUACUGAAC
rnacentral:rRNA from 1 species